GGGAGUGAAAUGGCUUCGACAGGUGAGGCUGAUUUCAUACUGCGAGCCGUGGCGCCUAACCACGCAAAAAUGGGCACGGCUAUAAAUGCCAACAACGAACAACCUGCUUUCGCUUACGCCGCCUAAGGCGAUUUAGCGAAGGUGCUGGGUCAUAGUAACCCAGCCGUCCACCCCACCCGUCUCUGUCCGGGAGGAUCGGUGGGCGUCACCAAAGGCAGAGUGCGGCAUCCGCGACGCCGUUAAGCGGCUGCCAAAGAGACAACGGCUAGGUAAGCGCGUACCACGUUGGCUGGGGCUACGCUCACCGAAAUUAAACAGCUAACUACGCUCGUAGAUGUGUGUUGUCGAAUCAUUUGGACCCGGGUUCAACUCCCGGCACUUCCACC
rnacentral:tmRNA from 1 species